UAAUACUCCAUAGAUUAGAGACACUGGAAUGUUCUUUAGUCGAAAGUUCUGGCGCCUUAGGAUGGAUCUGCGGUCGAUUAGGUUGUUGUUGGGGUAACGGCCCAACAAGCCUGUAAUCGAUACGGGUUGUGGGAGCAAGAGCCCGGAGAUGGAAUCUGAGACACGAUUCCAGGCCCUACGGGGCGCAGCAGGCGCGAAAACUUUACAAUGCAGGAAACUGUGAUAAGGGAACUCCGAGUGCCCGUAUACGCGGGCUGUCCAGGUGUUUAAAAAUCAUCUGAAGAAAGGGCCGGGCAAGACCGGUGCCAGCCGCCGCGGUAAUACCGGCGGCUCGAGUGGUGGCCACUUUUAUUGGGCUUAAAGCGUUCGUAGCUGGGUUGUUAAGUCUCUUGGGAAAUCUGGCAGCUUAACUGUCAGGCGUCUAAGGGAUACUGGCAAUCUUGGGACCGGGAGAGGUGAGGGGUACUUCGGGGGUAGGAGUGAAAUCCUGUAAUCCUCGAGGGACCACCUGUGGCGAAGGCGCCUCACCAGAACGGCUUCGACAGUGAGGGACGAAAGCUGGGGGAGCAAACCGGAUUAGAUACCCGGGUAGUCCCAGCCGUAAACGAUGUGCGUUAGGUGU
rnacentral:rRNA from 1 species